GGAUGAACGCUGGCGGCGUGCCUAACACAUGCAAGUCGAACGAAGAGGCCCCUUCGGGGGUACUUCAGUGGCGGACGGGUGAGUAACACGUAGGUGACCUGCCCCGAGACAGGGGAUAACGGCCCGAAAGGGCCGCUAAUACCCAAAAGGAUCGCGAGUCGCAUCGUGAUCAGAGUUACGGCGUCUCGGGAGGGGCCUGCGGCCCAUCAGCUAGUUGGCAGGGUAAUGGCCUACCAAGGCGACGACGGGUAGGGGACCUGAGAGGGUGAUCCCCCACAUUGGCACUGACACACGGGCCAAACUCCUACGGGAGGCAGCAGUGAGGAAUAUUGCGCAAUGAGCGAAAGCUAGACGCAGCAACGCCGCGUGGACGAUGAAGGCCUUCGGGUCGUAAAGUCCUUUUCAGAGGGACGAGUGAGGACGGUACCUCUGGAAUAAGUCAC
rnacentral:rRNA from 1 species